UACGGAGGGGGCGAGCGUUAUUCGGAAUUAUUGGGCGUAAAGGGCGCGUAGGCGGCUUGGUAAGUCAAAGGUGAAAUCCCUCGGCUCAACUGAGGAAUUGCCUUUGAAACUGCCUGGCUCGAGGCCGGGAGGGGGUAGCGGAAUUCCCAGUGUAGCGGUGAAAUGCGUAGAUAUUGGGAGGAACACCGGUGGCGAAGGCGGCUACCUGGACCGGUUCUGACGCUGAUGCGCGAAAGCGUGGGGAG
rnacentral:rRNA from 1 species